rnacentral:rRNA from 1 species
CGCCUGCCCGGUGCUGGAAGGUUAAGGGGAUCUGUUAGAGCAAUCGAAGCAGUGAACUUAAGCCCCAGUAAACGGCGGCCGUAACUAUAACGGUCCUAAGGCAGCGAAAUUCCUUGUCGGGUAAGUUCCGACCCGCACGAAAGGCGUAACGAUUUGGGCACUGUCUCAACAACAGACUCGGUGAAAUUGUAAUUCCGGUGAAGAUGCCGGAUACCUGCGACAGGACGGAAAGACCCCAUGGAGCUUUACUGUAGCUU